rnacentral:rRNA from 1 species
AUAUGUGACGAUUAUGACGGUAGCAUAUGAAUAAGGAUCGGCUAACUCCGUGCCAGCAGCCGCGGUCAUACGGAGGAUCCAAGCGUUAUCCGGAAUUACUGGGCGUAAAGAGUUGCGUAGGUGGCAUAGUAAGCAGGUAGUGAAAGCGUGGGGCUCAACCCCAUAUCCAUUAUUUGAACUGCUAAGCUAGAGGAUGAGAGAGGUAGCUAGAAUUCCUUGUGUAGGAGUGAAAUCCGUAGAUAUAAGGAGGAAUACCGAUGGCGUAGGCAGGCUACUGGCUCAUUCCUGACACUAAGGCACGAAAGCGUGGGGAGCGACCGGGAUUAGAUACCCCGUUAGUCCACGCCGUAAACGAUGGAUGCUAGCUGUUAUGAGUAUCGACCCUCGUAGUAGCGAAGCUAACGCGUUAAGCAUCCCGCCUGUGGAGUACGAGCGCAAGCUUAAAACAUAAAGGAAUUGACGGGGACCCGCACAAGCGGUGGAGCGUGUUCUUUAAUUCGAUGGUAAGCGAAGAACCUUACCAAGGUUUGACAUCCUGCGAAGGUCUCCGAAAGGAGACUGUGCCUUGUGAGCGCAGUGACAGGUGUUGCAUGGCCGUCGUCAGCUCGUGUCGUGAGAUGUUUGGUUAAGUCCAUCAACGAGCGCAACCCUUGUGAUUAGUUGAAUUUUUCUAAUCAGACUGCCCCGGCAACGGGGAGGAAGGAGGGGAUGAUGUCAGGUCAGUAUUACCCUUACACCUUGGGCUAGAAACACGCUACAAUGGCCAGUACAAAGGGCUGCCAAGGAGCAAUCCGGAGCAAAUCCCAUCAAAGCUGGUCUCAGUUCGGAUAGCAGGCUGAAACUCGCCUGC